rnacentral:rRNA from 1 species
UACGGGGGGGGCAAGCGUUGUUCGGAAUUACUGGGCGUAAAGGGCUCGUAGGUGGCCAACUAAGUCAGACGUGAAAUCCCUCAGCUUAACUGGGGAACUGCGUCUGAUACUGGAUGGCUUGAGAUUGGGAGAGGGAUGCGGAAUUCCAGGUGUAGCGGUGAAAUUCGUAGAUAUCAAGCGGAACACCGGUGGCGAAGGCGGCCUUCUGGACAGUGACUGACGCUGAGACGCGAAAGCGUGGGGAGCAAACAGG